UUUCCAGAGAUGGAUUGGUGCCUUCGGGAACUGUGAGACAGGUGCUGCAUGGCUGUCGUCAGCUCGUGUUGUGAAAUGUUGGGUUAAGUCCCGCAACGAGCGCAACCCUUAUCCUUUGUUGCCAGCGGUCCGGCCGGGAACUCAAAGGAGACUGCCAGUGAUAAACUGGAGGAAGGUGGGGAUGACGUCAAGUCAUCAUGGCCCUUACGACCAGGGCUACACACGUGCUACAAUGGCGCAUACAAAGAGAAGCGACCUCGCGAGAGCAAGCGGACCUCAUAAAGUGCGUCGUAGUCCGGAUUGGAGUCUGCAACUCGACUCCAUGAAGUCGGAAUCGCUAGUAAUCGUGGAUCAGAAUGCCACGGUGAAUACGUUCCCGGGCCUUGUACACACCGCCCGUCACACCAUGGGAGUGGGUUGCAAAAGAAGUAGGUAGCUUAACCUUCGGGAGGGCGCUUACCACUUUGUGAUUCAUGACUGGGGUGAAGUCGUAACAAGGUAACCGUAGGGGAACCUGCGGUUGGAUCACCUCCUU
rnacentral:rRNA from 1 species